CGCCGCUGGGGUUACCCGACCAACUCCUCAAACCCUCCUCUCCCUCUCUCGCUCGUGACCCCAAGCACCGCCGCCGACCAACUCCGACUCCGACCAACUCCGACUCCGACCUCCUCCUCCAACUCCGGAUCCGACCCCGAAAAUCACCCCAGCGGCCACUCUCUCUCACUUGGAUCCAAAGGGAGCUUGAAUCAAAACUGUUUGUAGAUAUGCGGAUGCAACGGUGCUGUAUUCAGAAAAAUCACCUGAUCAACAAAACCCAUCAAACAAAACCCACAUAUAUGGGUUUAUGUGAAGAAAUUCAGCAAUCAUCCAAAGAGGGCUGUAUCUUUAAUGUAUCCAAAGUUUGAUCCGUUGAUAUCUCCCUCUGUGUUAUGGUUGUCUUAAUUUAUCCAAAGAGGGCUGUAUCUUUAAUGUAUCCAAAGUUUGAUCCGUUGAUAUCUCCCUCUGUGUUAUGGUUGUCUUAAUUUAUCCAAAGAGGGCUGUAUCUUUAAUGUAUCCAAAGUUUGAUCCGUUGAUAUCUCCCUCUGUGUUAUGGUUGUCUUAAUUUAUCCAAAGAGGGCUGUAUCUUUAAUGUAUCCAAAGUUUAAUGUAUCCAAAGAGGGUUUUAUCU